CGCGGUAGCUGAAACACCCAGUACGCACGGCUAGAGGCCCUCCAGGUGGAAGUUUACACCACCCCCCCCUGGGGCUUCUGGGAAAUGUAGUCCAGAGCCGGAAGCCGGUGGGCUGGGCUCUGAGUGCGCAGGCGCAGGCACGCUCGGGACAGAGCGACUCUAGUCCCGGAGCCGGGGACCCGCGCCCUCGCGAGGUAAGCUGAGAGAACUCACAGCGGGGACCUGUCCAGGCUGUGCGAGCCUCGACGGACCUCCAGAGUCUUGACCGCCCAGUGCGUCCGUGGGUGCCGUCCUGAAGCCGAGCACGUGCGAGGCGGAUUCUGUCAGAUUCUUCCCUCCGGGUAGUCCCCUCGCGUGUUUCACAGGCGUGUGGCCCUUUGUACCCGGCCUCAUGAGCGUGUGUCUGUGUGUGCGCACCUGUCUGCACGCGCGCGACGCCGUGAGGGUUGCGGGGCUUCCCCGCCUCUGGCCGAGGAGCAGAACAGAGAAAAGCGGUAUGUGUUUCGCUUGGCAGGAAAACACUUGCUUUCAAGACUACACUUCCAAAAUGCACGAGUGUCUGGGCUGUUCAGCAAGCCGGCCUUAGUUUUUCCCUCUUAACGCGGUAGCACGUACUUGAGAACACAAAAAAGCAGCCCCUGACAUCCAGGAACUGGCCUGACACUUACAGUGAGGUGCCAGGAGAGAGGAAGAAUUAACUUCUCCGCUCAAUAUGCCAUGCUUAUCUAGCAGAAUCACCCCCGUCUCUUCAAGGACCUGUGAUUCCUCAACUAUUUUUCCUUAUAUCUUCUUCCCAUCUCACUCCCAAAUAUAUAGUGACAUUCAUACUUUUGUUCAAGGAACAUGAACUGAAUGUCUACCAUGUGUGGGUGCUGGGACUUGAAUUGCGAUCAAGCUACAAUCCCUGACUACUCUACAAGAGGUUCCAGUCUGGAGGAGGCAAGCACUUGGAGAUGUAAGGAGUGCAAAGCACAGCAUGUGCACAACGCCAGGGCAGUGUAGGGGAAGGGUUACUUCCCUUCGUGGAGCAUCUGAAGACUCCCCAGAGGGAGAGGUGUUUAAACAGAUUUCAAGAGAAAGUGGGAAUUGAUCCUACCAAACACAUCUGUGCCCCAACAAGAUGGCAUGAAGAGCCAGAGACAUUCACAGAACCCAGGCAUCCAACCUCCCCCCUACCCCCUCAUCCCUGCUCUGGGGGACCCUAAUGGGUGGUCUCUCUGUCCUUGAUUCUCCCUCUGAGUGUGAAGAAGGCAGGAAUUGCCCAAGACUCGAAUGGUAAAUGUGAGUGGGGAGAUGGAUAGAGACUUUAUUUUCUGGUCAGGGGCUGCAGUCUGCUCAUUUUCCAUCCUUUUCCCCAAAUUUCUGGUCAUUUAGUUUGAAUUCUUUUUUUUUUGUGGUACGCAGGCCUCUCACUGUUGUGGCCUCUCCCGUUGCGGAGCACAGGCUCCGGACGCGCAGGCUCAGCGGCCAUGGCUCAUGGGCCCAGCCGCUCUGUGGCAUGUGGGAUCCUCCCGGACUGGGGCACGAACCCGUGUCCCCUGCAUCGGCAGGCGGACUCUCAACCACUGCGCCACCAGGGAAGCCCUAGUUUGAAUUCUUUACUUCUCUCUCAAGCUGUAACCCAGACCAUGUACCUGCUCAUCUGUCAGGAGAGCAGGAGGGGCACAGAGGAUCCUAUUCAAGGCCCAGGUUCUCCAAAGGAGUUAAACUUGUAAGAAGAAAUUAAACAGAUUUGAUCUUAUUAGUUUAUUGAAUAAAUCAAUUCUGGGUAAAGAAAAAACAGAACUAGCUUUGGGGACAGAGGCUGGGGAAGUGAGCGAACCCCCGGCCCCUGUGGUGCGGGCAGAGGGGUCACUUGUAAAACUCAUGCUCCUGUUCGUCCUUCUUGAUGACUGUCUUGUAUGCUUUCUCGAAGUCCUUGGCCAGAACAAUGUAGCGGUUCUCUCGGACAGCCAACAUCCCGCUCUGUUGAGGGAUGACAGUUAAAAGCUACUCCCUGCACUCCCCGCCCCUAACGAUGGUGCAGGAAGAGACAGAUGCAGCCUAAGACCCAGGGAGGCAAUGAUGGACAGGGCUGCAGCAGAGUGGAGGGUCUUCACACACCCGCUGCCCAAUCAUCUAGAGAGAAACCAGCACUCACCUCCUGACAGAUGGAGUUGAUAUCAGCUCCUGAAAUCUUAUCUGGUCGGGCCACAUCUAUGGCAGGUGAGUUAAGGAAACCACUCCAUGCAUGACUGGGUGAAUGCUUGGAGCCAGAAGUCGUUCUUGGGCUGUCUUUGUCACCAUCCCCCUCCCCAGACCCUGGUCUCCCACCUGCAUAGUCUGGGUGGUGGUGAUGGCAGAGGUGGAGAUCUAAUCCCCAUUCUCAGCGGUGACCCUCCCCUCGCUUCUAGAGCAGGAUACAAUCUUCCAAGUCAACCUCCUCAGAGAGGUUCAUCUUGCUGGUGAUAGUGGAGAAAAUCAAUCUCUUCUGGCGGCGGUCAGGGAGUGGAAAUUCAAUUUUACGGUCAAGGCGUCCCGGCCGCAGCAGAGCAGGAUCCAGGGUGUCUGCUCUGUUUGUGGCCAUGAUCACCUGGCAUCGGGGACAGGCCAGCUCAGACCUCUGUCCCCACUAUACUCCAUCCUGUUGCAAUACCUAUCUCCUCACAUGCCAGCCUCCAUCCUUCCCUGAUUCCCACACCACACCUCCCCUCGCCCAUCCUGAACCCCAAACCUUGACGUUGACGUUCUGGUCGAAUCCAUCCAUUUGAUUCAGUAGCUCCAGCAGGAUUCUCUGAACCUCCCUGUCAGCUGGAUAGUACAUAACUCGGUCAGUCCAGGGCAUCCCGCAUGACAAGCCUGCCCAAGACCCCAGGCCCUGGGACUUCCCUGGUGGCACACUGGUUAAUAAUCCGCCUGCCAGUGCAGAGGACACGGGUUCAAGCCCUGGUCCAGGGAGAUCUCACAUGUCGCGGUGCAACUAAGCCCGUGCGCCACAACUGAGCCUGCACUCUAGGGCCCGCGAGUCACAACUACUGAGCCCACACGCUGCAACUACUGAAGCCUGUGCACCUAAAACCAGUGCUCUGCAAUGCAGCAAGAGAAGCCUCUGCAAUGAGAAGCCUGGGCACCACAACGAAGAGUAGCCCCUGCUCACUGCAGCUAGAGAAAGCCCACACGCAGCAACGAAGACCCAACACAGCCAAAAAAAUAAAUUCAUUAAAAAAAAAGACCCCAGGCUCUGUUUGGGCAUCACUCACCCCCUGUCUGGGCAUCGAAUCUCUUGGUUGCGAUGGCAUCAAUCUCAUCUAUGAAGAUGAUGGCAGGUGCGUUCUCCUUGGCCAGGCGGAACACGUCCCGGACCAUGCGAGGGCCCUCACCCAGGUACUUCUGUACAAACUCUGAGCCCACAACUCGGAUGAAUGCAGCUGAUGGCAGGAUGACAGGGGUUAGACGAGAAGGGAACACCUGUAGGGCCCCAUAAUACUUUAACUGAAACUGAGAAUUCCUUGAGGACAUCCUUUUCUUUGGAUACCCACUCCAAGUAGCCAGGUCAUUCUCUCAUGACCUGGGCUGGGUUCCAGAUCCAGCUAGGCGGACCAGCUUGUACCCCACAGAGACCCAGCAGCACAAAUCAUGAAUCCUGCCUAUGGAUGUGUCAUUUUUUGGCCCAACAUUUAGAAAUCAGGGUAUUAAAAAAAAAUGUGUCUGUGCUUCGACAUACCGACAAAGAAGAGCUAGAGACAUUCAUGGAAUCCAACAUACCAAAAAAUGUGAAUUUCCGGAGUGCUUGAAAAAUCAGUAAGAAAACAGUUUUUCCAUACACAGGCAUCAUGCUGCCUUACCAAGAGCUCAAAGGACCCCUUUUGAAUAUCAUGCAAGAGUCAAGAACCAGGAACACAUAUUCUGACAUAAUCAACAAGUGGCAGUGGGUUUAAGACAGGUUCUGGGCUUGCCUCUCCUUUCCAUCUUUUCUUAAGAGUUUAACUUGUUUGUUAGUGACUGGAUGUGGCUUUGUGUUGCACGGAGCAACCUCCAGGACACUCCUUCCAGCCACCACAGAGAAAGGAGACACAAAGUCCAUUAUGUAGAUCUGGUCAUAAA